rnacentral:snRNA from 1 species
GUGCUUGUUUUGGCAGCAUGUAUACUAAAACUGGAAUAAUACAGAGAAGAUUAGCAUAACCCUUGCACAAAAAUAACACUCACAUUUGUGAACUAGUCCAUAAUUUU